UAAAGUUACUUCUUUACUAUAGUUUGUAGUUUGUCUGAUUUCUAAAAUUUAUUGGCAUUAAGUUGUUCAUUGUUAUCAUUUUAUCAUUUAUAGAAUCCUUGCUUUUCCAUCUUAUUUCAGAUAUUUGUAUUUGCGUUGUUUUUUUUUUGUUUAGAUAUCUAUCAAUUUUUUGAUCUUCUAAAAAUUGAUCUUUUGGAUUCAUUUAAUUUUUGUUGUUGAUUUUUUGUUCUCUAUUUAAUUGAUUUCCACUGUACUGGUGUUAUUUUCCUUCCUCUGCUUACUGUGAAUUUGAUUUACUUUUCCCCAAUCUAGUUUCUUACAAUGGAAACUGAAGCCAUUGACUUAAGAUCUUUCUUUAUUUCUAAUACGUGUAUUGAACACUGAGUUUUCUUCUCUGCACUGCUUUGUUUGCAUCCCACAGAGUUUGGUACACUGUCUAUUUUUGUACAGUGUCGUCUGCUUAUUUUAACUCAGUUUGGAAUACUUACUGAUUUCCAUUUUGAUAUCUCCUUUGAUUUCUGGGCUAUUUAGAAGUGUUUUUAUUAAGUUUCCAAGUAAUUUUUGAUUUUCCAGAUACCUUUGUAAUAUCAGCUCCUAAUUUAGUUACUCUAGUGAUGCUGGCAUGAACGAAAUUCUCUAAAAUUUGUUGAGACAUGUUUGGCCCAGAACAGAGACUAUCUCGGUAAGUAUUCUGAGAACAUUUAAAAAUAACAUGUAACAUGUAACAUGACAUUGUUUGUUGGAGUAUUAUGUAAAUACCAGUUAAGUCAAAUGAGUUGACAGUAUUAUCCAGAUCUUUUAUUUCAUUGCAGAUUUUUUUCUAGUUGCUCUUUAUUUUAUUUCUUCUGGUGAGUGAGAGCUUUGCUCUGUUUGGGCUCAACUUCCCAAGAGAAGAGUUUGAAAAUAUACCCCUAGUCAGAGAGCCUGAGAGGAUAUGGGACUUGCCUGUGUGAAACCCUCUCUAGGGGACUGAAGUUCUGUCUGUUGUCUAGUGCUUGGAGGGAGUUGCUCCAGGUAAGUGUUUAGCUGUUAGAUUUCUCAGUGUUUGUGGUGGGAGGCUAAGUUUACCCUUCUUGAUGGCUGGACCCGAGAGCUUGGUUUUCUAUUUGAACAGCUCCUGCUGUGUGUUUAGAGCAGAGGGGUGAGCUAGCUGAAGGCUAAACUUGCUGGGCCGUCUUUUUCUGAAGUUCACAGUUUCCAAGAGGAGUUUCAUGGGAGCUGCUCAGAGUUGGUGGAGUAACGCCUUGCUGGAGUGAAGGGGCCUCUGUUUGGUGAUUUUCUUGCUGACUGAGACUAAGUUCUUUCCUAUAUCUCCAUAUCCCCCCACCACUGGGGUCACUCUGGAUCCCAGGGGAGUGUCAAACCAUACUAACAGUGUCUCCAGACUCGUCUUGAGUGGAAGGAGGCCUGGAGACAGGAAGCUAAGGAGGAGUCUUAUUUUAGGCUUACCAUCUGGAUAGCUCGCUGUGUGUGGGGCUGGGAUUAGACUUCCCCAGGCGAGGGGAUGUAGGAUGACAGAAUUUGGGGAUGACAGGGUAGGCCUUCUGCAGUGACUCCGAGUAUUUUCUCUGGGCCCGAAGCAGGGCAAUGACUGUGUCCACAGACUACAGGAUGUUAUUCCAGAUGUCCAGUGAGGGCUUUUUCAUUUUUAGGGGAUGUAUGGAAAUCAGCUUGGUCAAGAUAAGUAAUUUGUCAAAUUACUAUCACGAAUGUAUACCAGUUUACGUGGUUAAUGUCAGUGAUGGUUUUAACUGCAUGAAUUGUGCAUUUUCAUCUUCUCUUUCUACAGAUGAGAAAACUGAGGGCUAAAGGGACAAAUCAACCUGCCCAUGGUCACCCAGGUGGUCACACAGCUUACGGGUGCAAGCAGCUCCAGACACGUGAAUGAACAGGCGUGGCUGUGCGCUAACGCGGUGCUAUUUGCAAACACUAGGGCUGGUGAGGUCUGGCCCCGGAGCUGCAGUUUACUGGAUCCUGAGCUUGGAUGUGCUAAAACACAGUGAUAGCAGUUCUCCCACUGCAUCAAAAACAGCCUCUGAGCCAGAGCAGGGGGGUCCUGGCUGCUCAGUGCUCAGCUGUGCCCUGUGAUUCCACUUGAACUCCACUGUAACCCAACACUACAGUGCUUGCAGGUGAAAAUCUAGGUCCAGAAGGUUAAGGUGCUGGCCUGAUGUCCCUCCGCAGUGGAUGGAAGAGUGGGAACCAGAUGUAGCUGUCACCUGCUGGCCCAGGCGGUGAACUGCGGGCUGGCUGAGCCCUUCCCUGGAAUGUUGUAGGUGUUCUUUCCCCUGAAUCCUCUCACUCAGCGCCCGAUGCUGCCAUGUCAGUCAGGUGUCAGGUGACAGUGACAGAGCAGGCAACUAUUUGCUUCCAAAGGUCAGCUACCUCUCCCGGUGUGCAUGAGUGGACUCUGCCGGACUGGAACCGGCUAAAUAAUUUCCGGAACAACCUCACAGUCUAGUUCUAUACAGAUGUUAAACGAACUGAGGUAAAUUUGUGUCUACACGCAAUAAAUUCACAUAAAAAGGGCUUCAA